GGGGGGGAAAUGGGGGGAAAGCCUGACGCGCAACGCCGCGUGCGGGAUGACGGGCUUCGGGUUGUAGAACCGCUGUCUCAGCACGGGACGAAGCUGUAUCUGUGUGACUGGUGCCUGGAGGAACAGGCCGCCGUGCUAUAGCUCACGCUGCCAGCAGCCACGCGUGAUACGCUAGGGUGCGAGCGUUGUCCGGAUUUAUUGGGCGUAAAGAGCUCGUAGGCGGUUUGUCGCGUCAGAACUGAAAGACUCAAGGCUUAACUCUGGGCCUGCUUCCCAUACAGUCAGACUAGAGGAAGGAAGGGGAAAAUGCAAUUCGCUGGUGGAGCGGGGGAAUGCACAAAUAUCAAGACGAACACCAAUGGCGAAGGCGGGUCUCUGGACCUUUCCUGACGCUCAAGAGCGAAAGCGUGGGGAGCAAACAGGCUUACAUACCCUGGUAGUCCACGCCGUAAGACGCGUCGGGUACGUAGGGUGUGGGGACCAUUCCACGGUUUCCGUGCCAAAGCUAACGCAUUCCCUACCCGCGCGCAUGGCGAGCACGGCCCCAAGGCUCAAACUCAUAGGAAGUGACGGA
rnacentral:rRNA from 1 species